rnacentral:rRNA from 1 species
UUCCGUAGGUGAACCUGCGGAAGGAUCAUUUCUGAAGGCUUUUUGCCAAAACCACUGUGAACAGCUUAGACUUCGGUCUUUGCAAUUGCUUGGGUGUCGAAAGGCGCCCAAUCUUUAAAACUUUUAUAUUUGUUCUGAAACAAUGAAAAUUUAAAACUUUCAACAACGGAUCUCUUGGUUCUCGUAUCGAUGAAGAACGCAGCAAAGCGCGAUAGGUAAUGCGAAUUGCAGACGUGAGUCAUUGAAUUUUUGAACGCAUAUUGCGCUAUUAGUUUGUCUAAUAGCAUGCUUGUUGGAGUGAUAAUCUUCCUCUCAACCAUUUUUGGUAUGAGGUCUUGCUCCUUUUAGGAGUUAAAAUCAUGGAAGUGCACACGUUAAUUAACUCUGUGCAGUUAUACACUUUUCAUCCUCCAAUCAAGCAAGGUUACCCGCUGAACUUAAGCAUAUCAAUAAGCGGAGGAA